AUUACAAGUGACCCCGGUCUAACCACCGGGAUGUUCAUAACCCUUUGUUGUCCGACUCUGUUGCCUCCGGGGCGACCCUGCCUUCGGGCGGGGGCUCCGGGUGGACACUUCAAACUCUUGCGUAACUUUGCAGUCUGAGUAAACUUAAUUAAUAAAUUAAAACUUUUAACAACGGAUCUCUUGGUUCUGGCAUCGAUGAAGAACGCAGCGAAAUGCGAUAAGUAAUGUGAAUUGCAGAAUUCAGUGAAUCAUCGAAUCUUUGAACGCACAUUGCGCCCCCUGGUAUUCCGGGGGGCAUGCCUGUUCGAGCGUCAUUUCACCACUCAAGCCUCGCUUGGUAUUGGGCAACGCGGUCCGCCGCGUGCCUCAAAUCGACCGGCUGGGUCUUCUGUCCCCUAAGCGUUGUGGAAACUAUUCGCUAAAGGGUGUUCGGGAGGCUACGCCGUAAAACAACCCCAUUUCUAAGGUUGACCUCGGAUCAGGUAGGGAUACCCGCUGAACUUAAGCAUAUCAAUAAGCGGAGGAAAAGAAACCAACAGGGAUUGCUCUAGUAACGGCGAGUGAAGCAGCAAUAGCUCAAAUUUGAAAUCUGGCGUCUUCGACGUCCGAGUUGUAAUUUGUAGAGGAUGCUUCUGAGUAACCACCGACCUAAGUUCCUUGGAACAGGACGUCAUAGAGGGUGAGAAUCCCGUAUGCGGUCGGAAAGGUGCUCUAUACGUAGCUCCUUCGACGAGUCGAGUUGUUUGGGAAUGCAGCUCUAAAUGGGAGGUAAAUUUCUUCUAAAGCUAAAUAUUGGCCAGAGACCGAUAGCGCACAAGUAGAGUGAUCGAAAGAUGAAAAGCACUUUGGAAAGAGAGUUAAAAAGCACGUGAAAUUGUUAAAAGGGAAGGGAUUGCAACCAGACUUGCUCGCGGUGUUCCGCCGGUCUUCUGACCGGUCUACUCGCCCGCGUUGCAGGCCAGCAUCGUCUGGUGCCGCUGGAUAAGACUUGAGGAAUGUAGCUCCCUCGGGAGUGUUAUAGCCUCUUGUGAUGCAGCGA
rnacentral:rRNA from 1 species